ACGAAGGGGGCUAGCGUUGUUCGGAAUUACUGGGCGUAAAGCGCUCGUAGGCGGAUUUUUAAGUCAGGGGUGAAAUCCCGGGGCUCAACCUCGGAAUUGCCUUUGAUACUGGAAAUCUCGAGUCCGGGAGAGGUGAGUGGAACUGCGAGUGUAGAGGUGAAAUUCGUAGAUAUUCGCAAGAACACCAGUGGCGAAGGCGGCUCACUGGCCCGGUACUGACGCUGAGGAGCGAAAGCGUGGGGAGCAAACAGG
rnacentral:rRNA from 1 species